GUUUUGGGCUAUCGGUUAAACUUGUCUCCUGUAUGUGAGACUUGAGCAUUUUUGAGUUUGUCUCAUAGAACCUCUGAGAACCAGAUAUCACAUGGCGUCGGAAGUUGGUGUGGAUUUCUUUUCUUUUGCAGAUUGGGAGCCACCCUGAAAAUAUAUUUCUGAAAGACAGGAUAGACAUUUUUAGAUCAAUAAUUUCUGUUGGACUUCAUAUAACUAUCAAAUGAUGAAGUCCUAUUUUAUGAAGAGUAGUCCUCUAUUUUAAGAGCUGUCUGAGGGCACUCCUCGAUUUGAAGGAAGGGCUGUCCAGUCCAAAUCCGGUUUAAAGAUAAACAGUCUUCAGAAAGGUGAGCGGGGGACCUCGAAAUUGCCCAUCUACAGUGAGCACCUGAGCAACAGACUGAGCAAGCACAGAAGUCACCUGGUCACAAUUUUCCCCACUAUGAUGAGAUGAACUGCUAUUUAAAUGAUAGUAUUUAUUUCUCAAUUUGCAUAUCUACAUAUAAAUUAGCAUAUACAAAUCUUACACAAGCUCAUGUCUUUUAUCCAACGUUUUGGUGGUGGAUUUCCUCUUUUGGGGCAAUGCAUAAGUGGCCACCCUAAAGAGCUGUGACCUGUUCUGUAGCAUUCGGCAUAGAAGCCACAAUGCGGUUUUACUUAGCAUACGGUUUUGUGUUUCUUUUCCUAUGUGCUGGAUUGUAACGUUCUCUGGAUAAACCUUGUCCUAAUUCA